UCGAACAGACCUAAAUAUUUUAGCUUCUACACCAAAAUUUUAUUUUAAUCCAACAUCGARGUCGCAAUCUUUUUUUUCGAUUUGAACUCUCAAAAAAAAUUACGCUGUUAUCCCUAARGUAAUUUAUUCUUUUAAUCUAAAAAGGAUCAAAUAAUCAUAAAUUAAUGUAAAAAUAAAAAAAAAGUUUAUUAAAUUUUUCAAUCACCCCAACUAAAUUUAUUAUUAAAUCAUAAAAAUAUUAAACCUAAAGUUUUUUAAUUUAAUAAUAAAUAAAACUCUAUAGGGUCUUCUCGUCUUUUAUUUUAAUUUAAGCUUUUUUACUUAAAAAUAAAAUUCUAAAAAAUUUAAAUAGAGACAGUAAUUUCUCCGUCCAACCUUUCAUUCCAGCUUUCAAUUAAAAAACUAUUGAUUAUGCUACCUUUGCACGGUCAARAUACCGCGGCCAUUUAAAUCCUCAUAGGGCAGGCGAGACCUUAAAUUAUACUCAAAAG
rnacentral:rRNA from 1 species